rnacentral:misc_RNA from 1 species
AGAGCGGUUUGGUAGCUUUGAAUUUAGAUCUAGCUCAAGUUGCUGAAUUUGUGAAAGGACGCCUUGGUGUUGAGGUUGAAAUGGGCGGCUGCAAGGCACCAAUAACUACAUUCAUUGUUGAACCAUUUGUUCCACAUGACCAAGAAUUCUACCUCUCAAUAGUUUCUGAAAGACUUGGCUCCACCAUUAGCUUUUCAGAAUGCGGGGGUAUUGAAAUUGAAGAGAACUGGGAUAAGGUUAAGACCAUAUUCCUUCCUACUGAGAAACCUAUGACCUUGGAGGCAUGUGCUCCAUUGAUUGCUACACUUCCUUUGGAGAUUCGAGGUAAAAUUGGUGGCUUCAUAAUGGGCGUCUUUGCUGUCUUUCAAGAUUUGGACUUCAGUUUUCUAGAGAUGAAUCCGUUUACCCUGGUAAAUGGAGAGCCAUAUCCAUUGGAUAUGCGAGGAGAGCUGGAUGACACUGCUGCCUUCAAGAACUUCAAGAAGUGGGGUAACAUAGAGUUUCCUCUCCCUUUUGGACGAGUUCUGAGCUCUACUGAAAGCUUCAUUCAUUCACUGGAUGAAAAGACAAGUGCGUCUUUGAAAUUCACUGUUUUAAACCCAAAAGGUCGUAUCUGGACGAUGGUAGCUGGAGGUGGUGCAAGUGUUAUAUAUGCCGAUACUGUCGGCGAUUUAGGUUAUGCAUCAGAGCUUGGCAACUAUGCAGAAUAUAGUGGAGCUCCUAAUGAGGAGGAAGUCUUGCAAUAUGCAAGAGUUGUAAUUGAUUGUGCUACUGCUAAUCCUGAUGGUCGUAAAAGGGCCCUUCUUAUUGGAGGUGGCAUUGCUAACUUCACAGAUGUUGCAGCUACUUUCAAUGGCAUCAUUCGAGCCCUCAGAGAAAAGGAAUCCAAGUUAAAAGCAGCAAGAAUGCACAUCUAUGUUCGAAGAGGUGGUCCAAACUACCAGAUUGGUUUGGCAAAGAUGCGCUCUUUGGGAGAAGAGUUGGGGGUGCCUCUUGAGGUUUAUGGGCCUGAGGCUACAAUGACAGGAAUUUGCAAGCAGGCCAUUGAUUGCAUCAUGUCCACGGCAUAGUUUU